rnacentral:rRNA from 1 species
ACCUAUAAGACUGGGAUAACUUCGGGAAACCGGAGCUAAUACCGGAUAAUAUUUUGAACCGCAUGGUUCAAAAGUAAAAGACGGUCUUGCUGUCACUUAUAGAUGGAUACGCGCUGCAUUAGCUAGUUGGUAAGGUAACGGCUUACCAAGGCAACGAUGCAUAGCCGACCUGAGAGGGUGAUCGGCCACACUGGAACUGAGACACGGUCCAG